CGUCGGUGUUUUUCUUUUUCUUUCCUUCCUCUGUCUCUUCCCCGCGCCGCUCGAUCCCCUUUUCAUUUCGAACACGUAACCCAGAAGGCAACUGAGAGAGAUAUCCAUGGCGAUUUGGAGCCCCCCCUCGCCGCUCGUCGGUUUUGUUCGAUUCGGAAGGUUCAAUGGAUGAUCCUGAUUUUGACAAAGCUUUGUAUGAUUUCUAUGUGUCGCAUGUAAGCGUGUUGUUGUAAUUAUUGCAUUUUGUUCCAGUUUUCAUUUAUGUUUGUUUUUAUUGUAUAAUUCAUUGCCUGUUUAUAUAUCUUGCAAAAAGCGAAUUGCCUGAAACGGAAGAUAGCAGAUGUUGGAGCUCGCAAUGUGGUAUUUAUGUUUCUUUGUUCUAUUCGCAUUUUCUGUACCCAACUACCACUCUGAUAGAGAUAGAUAUAAGUUUGAGAUAGAUUUAAAUUUGUUUUUUCCCCUUGUUUGAUGUUUCUGCUAGAUGUUUUUUCAUUGUUGAUCUAGUGUAUUUUUAUCCUGAUUCCUUUUUUUUGUUUUGUGUUUCUUGUUCUAUUGUAGAAGCGCACGAGGUCUUCUGAUUUUCCCGUAGCAAAUACAUUCACUAGAUACUCUAGCAAGUUGUUCUCCACUAUUAUUGGCGGCUUGUCUCCUCAGCAAGUACGUGUUCUUCAGAGUUAUGGGGCAGAUUGCCUUCUCAAAUUUGUGAGGACAGAGGUGCCAUUUAGGUUUGUCAAAUGGCUAGCAUCCAAAUUUGAUGUUCGUGCUUCAGUGAUUCAGAUUAGGAAAAUGUUUAUUCCGAUUUGCGAAUAUGUCACCCAUGAUAUAUUAGGUCUUCCUGUUGACGGUGAGCCUAUUGUGUCCAAUGCUGAUGCUGGUUGUGAGUUUAUCUUGUCUCAUUUCAAUGUGACUAGCAUCCCACCAGUUUCAUUCUUCUGCAAUAAACUAAAAUCCACCUCUGAAGAAUUGCCCGAUGAAGACAUUUUCAUCUGCUUCAUGUGCAUUGCCUUGUCCACCUUCUUGUGUCCAAAUCCAAUAUUAGAACUCUGUAAUUCUGGAGUUUUUACUGUAAUCCAUGAUGGUUUUCAGUGUAACUAUUAGUUGAUUUUGCUCUGUAAUGCCUAGUGGAAUUACAGUGUACUUUAAUAGGCUUUACAUAGUAAAUCUUAUUGGAUUUACAGUGUAAUUUUACACAGAAUCCUAGUGGAUUUUUAGUGUACUUUUAA